ACGGGUGAGUAACGUCUGGGAAACUGCCCGAUGGAGGGGGAUAACUACUGGAAACGGUAGCUAAUACCGCAUAACGUCGCAAGACCAAAGUGGGGGACCUUCGGGCCUCACACCAUCGGAUGUGCCCAGAUGGGAUUAGCUAGUAGGUGGGGUAAUGGCUCACCUAGGCGACGAUCCCUAGCUGGUCUGAGAGGAUGACCAGCCACACUGGAACUGAGACACGGUCCAGACUCCUACGGGAGGCAGCAGUGGGGAAUAUUGCACAAUGGGCGCAAGCCUGAUGCAGCCAUGCCGCGUGUAUGAAGAAGGCCUUCGGGUUGUAAAGUACUUUCAGCGGGGAGGAAGGCGGUGAAGUUAAUAGCUUCACCGAUUGACGUUACCCGCAGAAGAAGCACCGGCUAACUCCGUGCCAGCAGCCGCGGUAAUACGGAGGGUGCAAGCGUUAAUCGGAAUUACUGGGCGUAAAGCGCACGCAGGCGGUCUGUCAAGUCGGAUGUGAAAUCCCCGGGCUUAACCUGGGAACUGCAUUCGAAACUGGCAGGCUGGAGUCUUGUAGAGGGGGGUAGAAUUCCAGGUGUAGCG
rnacentral:rRNA from 1 species